UUCUCGUUAGAUCAACGAAGUCAAGCAUCAUUGGGCGCGGUCAGUACUUGGGUGGGUGACCACCUGGGAACACCGCGUGCAGU